UAGCUGAGUUGGUAAAGAAUCUGCCUGCAAUGCAGGAGACCCUGGUUCAAUUCUUGG
rnacentral:tRNA from 1 species